rnacentral:rRNA from 1 species
UGGGGAAUAUUGCACAAUGGGCGAAAGCCUGAUGCAGCGACGCCGCGUGAGGGAUGGAGGCCUUCGGGUUGUAAACCUCUUUCAGUAAGGGUGAAGGCUCUCUUUUGUGGAGGGUUGACAGUACUUGCAGAAGAAGCGCCGGCUAACUACGUGCCAGCAGCCGCGGUAAUACGUAGGGCGCGAGCGUUGUCCGGAAUUAUUGGGCGUAAAGGGCUUGUAGGUGGCGUGUCGCGUCUGCUGUGAAAUUCCAGGGCUUAACUUGGGGAUUGCAGUGGGGACGGGCAUGCUAGAGUGCAGUAGGGGAGAUUGGAAUUCCUGGUGUAGCGAUGAAAUGCGCAGAUAUCAGGAGGAACACCGGUGGCGAAGGCGGGUCUCUGGGCUGUUACUGACGCUGAGGAGCGAAAGCGUGGGGAGCGAACAGG